ACACGCUAUGAACGUCAAGAACCAUGCAAGAAUUCCUAAUCACAUUCCCAGGAUGGAUUCCCCCAUGACAGCAAGCCAGAGAAUGAUCAGGGACAGCACCCGUAAAAAGCAGCUGAUGUUUACCUGGACUCGAGUCCUCUUCCUUGGUUUCUGGAACUGGAGACGGGGUCCUGGUUGGUUCCCUGCAAAGAAAGGGCAGCGAUGGCACGGUCCAAACAGAUCCUAUCUCUAAGCAGAUCCCCAUCCUCACACCCGGUUGGAUAAGGGGGAGGGACAGCAAUGGCAACCGGACUAUAAAAGUGUGCAGUUGCUCUUGGUCUUCUAGGCCCUGGGGCUCUGUAUAAUCCUGAUGGUCCGAGGAGGGACUGGCCAGGAGGUCCAUGGGUCCGCAUACCAGACCUGCAGCAGCCUCCUGGAAACGCGCAGGCUUCGCUCCAACUGCCGCUGUUGAUCGGCGCAGGAGUCCAGAGCGCCCUGCAGCUCGGCUACCAGCCUGAGAACAGGUACUAGGUGAGCCUCGGAACCCCACGCCCGUCUGCCCCAUUCCCUUCUGUGGCACGAGACUCACCGCUGAGCGCAGUCUGCCGGUAGCAGGUAGCUUGCUUUAACGCCAAGCAUUUUUUUUCUUGCCGCCACAACGGAGUCCCGCGCCUUCCGGGCAGAAGGCCGCCCACUUCCGGCUAGGCUACCCAAUCUUGAGCACAGCGUUCAAGACCGGCUAGCUCCAAAGUGCCAAUCCACCUCAAGCUCCACCCCACCACCCCAGGCUCCUCCCUAACCCCACCCCCGGGGCGGCCGAAGAGGCUCUGUUGGAACCUCGACCACGCCAGGUUUUGCCGAACCUGCUUUGAAAGUAGAGAUAAAGCGGUCUUGCUGACUCCAGGGUGACUUAGUAAUCAAGCAUGUGGACGGAAGAUGAUAGAGAACUGGGCCGAGGAACAGAAGCAGAGGAAUGGAAGAUAGGUGCGGGAAGUGAACAACGAAGUCCAGGGAAUCUGGAGCAUGUGGCACUUAGCAUAAGUCUGCCAAGCUGGCCUACGUCAUGGCACGUUGUGCAAGGGACAGAUGAGUGACAGAUGAGGAGGGGAGACUGAAGCCCAGAGAAUGCAGUAGAUAACCACAUGCAAACACUACAGCUAAGGCUCGGCAACGGCCUUUGUCCUCAAAGAUCUACCAAGUUAGGUCAGCUUCAUGGUUCAUAUUGACUUGUUUGAGACCGGCCUUAUUUGCCCUGGAACUCGAUCUGUAGACCAGGCUGGCCUCGAAUUCACAUAAAUCCAUCUGCCUCUGCCUCCUGAAUGCUGGGGUCAAAGACUUGUCCCACCACCGUCCAGACUCGUGUUCCACGUUGAAAGCUAUUUAUUUACCAUCUACUCCAUUAAUAAAUUUCACUUUCACUGAGACAGUCUCAGGAGGCCCAGAAA